UACGGAGGAUGCGAGCGUUAUCCGGAUUUAUUGGGUUUAAAGGGUGCGUAGGCGGUUUUAUAAGUUAGAGGUGAAAAUUCGGGGCUCAACUCCGGACGUGCCUCUAAUACUGUAUGACUAGAGAAUAGAUGCGGUAGGCGGAAUGUAUGGUGUAGCGGUGAAAUGCAUAGAUAUCAUGAAGAACUCCGAUCGCGAAGGCAAGUGUCCGGGGUGCAACUGACGCUGAGGCUCGAAAGUGCGGGUAUCGAACAGG
rnacentral:rRNA from 1 species